rnacentral:tRNA from 1 species
UCCUGCAUAGCUCAGUUGGUAAAGCAUCUGCCUGCAAUGUGGAAGACCUGGGUUCAAUUCCUGGGUCAGGAA